AUUGAACGCUGGCGGCAGGCCUAACACAUGCAAGUCGAGCGAGCGGCGGACGGGUGAGUAAUGUCUGGGAAACUGCCUGAUGGAGGGGGAUAACUACUGGAAACGGUAGCUAAUACCGCAUACCAUCAGAUGUGCCCAGAUGGGAUUAGCUAGUAGGUGGGGUAACGGCCCACCUAGGCGACGAGCCCUAGCUGGUCUGAGAGGAGGACCAGCAACACUGGAACGGAGACACGGUCCAGACUCCUACGGGAGGACGCAGUGGGAAAUAUUGCACAAGGGGCGCAAGCCUGAUGCAGCCAUGCCGCGUGUGUGAAGAAGGCCUUCGGUUUGUAAAGCACUUUCAGCGGGGAGGCGUUACCCGCAGAAGAAGCACCGGCUAACUCCGUGCCAGCAGCCGCGGUAAUUC
rnacentral:rRNA from 1 species